rnacentral:rRNA from 1 species
CAGCAGUAGCCGCGGGAAUACGGAGGGUGCAAGCGUUAAUCGGAAUUACUGGGCGUAAAGCGCACGCAGGCGGUCUGACAAGUCAGAUGUGAAAUCCCCGGGCUUAACCUGGGAACUGCAUUUGAAACUGUCAGGCUGGAGUCUUGUAGAGGGGGGUAGAAUUCCAGGUGUAGCGGUGAAAUGCGUAGAGAUCUGGAGGAAUACCGGUGGCGAAGGCGGCCCCCUGGACAAAGACUGACGCUCAGGUGCGAAAGCGUGGGGAGCAAACAGGAUUAGAUACCCCUGUAGUCCCUGUCUCUUAUAC